rnacentral:rRNA from 1 species
AUUGAACGCUGGCGGCAGGCCUAACACAUGCAAGUCGAACGAGUGGCGGACGGGUGAGGCAUGUAUCGGAAUCUACUCUAUCGUUGGGGAUACCUUGGGGAAACUGACGCUAAUCCCGCAUACCAUUACAUGAGCCAAUGUCGGAUUAGCUAGUUGGGGGGGUAAAGGCGCACCAAGGCGACGAUCCGUAGCUGGUCUGAGAGGAUGAACGGCCACACUGGAACUGAGACACGGUCCAGACUCCUACGGGAGGCAGCAGUGGGGAAUAUUGCACAAUGGGCGCAAGCCUGACGCAGCCAUGCCGCGUGGGUGAAGAAGGCCUUCGGGUUGUAAAGCACUGUUGUUGGGGAAGCGGUACCCAAAGAAUAAGCACCGGCUAACUUCGUGCCAGCAGCCGCGGUAAUAC